CGGCAUUUGACGCGAGUAUCUCGUCUUGCGUGAGUACCACGAAGUAAGCGAUGUUCGCGAAGACGUAAAUCACUGUCACCAGCGGUAACGAUAUACAAAUCGCCUUAGGAAGAUUUCUGCAAAGAUAGAAAAAACGUUUUCCUCCCUAUAAUAAAUUAAUUGGAGAAUCCUGACAGACGAAAAGGAGGCCAUAGAAGGUUCGGAAUAACUUACUUGUAGGGAUCCUUCAGUUCUUCCGUCACGAAGUUGAGAUAAUUCCAACCAGAAUAGGAGAACAAUCCCGAGUAUACGGCCAAAGCAAUAUAACCGGGCUGAGUGUUGGUCCCGGCCAUCGGAUCUUGGAAGUUUUUUGUAUGGCCCAUGCAGAACCACCAGAAGCCGGCCACCAUGAUGAUCACCAGAGCAAAAAUCUUGGUGCCAGUGAAGAUGUCCUGCACUCUGGUCGCCCAUUUGACGUUGUAGCAGUUGAUAACAGUUAAGAGACCUGCAAACACGACAGAACAAGAAUCAGUACACGCCGUUGUGCGUUAAUAUCGUCGCAGCAAGCAAGACAAUCCGAUGCGCGUGUGAGUAACGCUUCCGGGUUAUAUUUAAAAGUCGCGUACGCAGUGUUCGCGCCAUGUUUUCGCAGAUUGCCCACGCGAGCCUUACGUCGCAGCGCAGCAUGUGCAUCGACAUACUUUCGGCCAGCAUGGCGAUAUCCAUGAUUCAUCACCCGGCAUCUAUAGUCAAUAUGGUACAUCCAUUUUGCAUUAUCGGGUGCCUCCAUAAGAUUAUGAGAAAUACGGAUUAAUCGAUCAGCCAGGAAGAAAAGUCAAGACUUUUUAACAUAAUGAAUCAAAAUAAAUCAAGAUAAAAGCCUCUUAUAAAGAAUUCAAUGCAUCUAAUUUAACAAGUAUAUAAUUAUCCACAGAAACGUAUAAUAUAAAGUUGCAAUCGAUUAUAAGAGUUACAAUCCGGUUUUCUUCUCAGCUCUUCCGCUUUUCUCACACAUAUGUGUUCAUAACUUCGCGAUAAUAUUCAUCUUACACGUGACCACGGCGGCCAGUAGUCGCACUGCUGCAUACGGCGGUGUGCAUCCGGGCCAUACGGGCUGUAGGAUGUAUUGUGCGAAUGUGAGAGCGGUGAUGGCAUUCCCCGUUGGAACCAGGACGAAUAACGCCACCCAGAGAUAAAGGAACGCGGGCAAUGGUCCAAAAGCGACGCUGAUGUAUGCGUAGUCACCGCCAGAUUUCGGGAUCAUUGUACCUGCAGACACAAGGAGAUACUCUGUCAUCUGUAUUUUCAUUGAGUAAACCAUCGAUUUGUACGUGCGCGUGCCGCGGCUGCAUUAGUUCACGCACACUUCGCAAUCCCCGAGUCGCGACAUGUGCGCGAAUCGACUUUGUUUUCUCGUGGAACGAUUCGUGAUGAUGCACACGAACAAUGCGCUUUAUCACGCCCGCCCCUUUUGUGUUUUUCGAGAUAUCGCGUUCGAGAUAUAAUAAGGUUUCUUAUUCAUCGACAAAUCCGUGACACCAAUGUCACGGAAAAUAAUUGUUGGACCGAAUCGAAUUUCUCUUCUUUCUCUCUUUUAUUUCGAAGAGUCAUUUGUACCUGCAAUAAAGAGAUAUUCGGCAGGGAGAUGAUUUCGGACGCAUGUCUUUCAUUUAAUGUACGGCACGCGAUAGUUGCGGCCGGUAGUUGUGGGUCGUAAUAGUGCGCAGACGUAAUUACGUGUAUCACGAGAGCGCCGGGAAUUUACACUCGUUCAAUUUCCCGUUAUGCGAUAAUAAUGAAUUAAUUGCACACUUUUGCACUUUUUGUUUCCUCAAUCUUGAUCCAUUAUUGAGUGUACUUUGCUUUCAUACGCGACAAUUCGCAAACAUAAAUUUAUCUGACAAUUGCGAAAAUAGUAUGAGACGAAGAUAAGCGUCAAUUAAGACGUCCGAGGAGAUUUAAACAAAUGUUUUCGUUGUGAUUGUGCAAUAUGAGAAAUUGUGAAACUUUAUCGCUUUACGCUGGUGUAGAAAUCCAAAAGUAGAGAUUCUUAACUUCAACGGACCGUCGAUACUUUUACUCUUAAUUAAUUUUGUAAUUAUCAACAACACAUGAUACUUUAUAUCAGUGUCAUUACUUCGUAAUAGACGUAUCGCUUGAAAACAGUUUUUAAGGAAAAUUUAUUCGUACCUGUGAUAAGAUAAAUGUGUUAAAAUUAUGUGUUAUUAACGACUAGUUCACACAAUAAAAUGUCUUAAAAUGUU